CCUACGGGAGGCAGCAGUGGGGAAUAUUGCACAAUGGGGGAAACCCUGAUGCAGCGACGCCGCGUGAGUGAAGAAGUAUCUCGGUAUGUAAAGCUCUAUCAGCAGGGAAGAAAAUGACGGUACCUGACUAAGAAGCCCCGGCUAACUACGUGCCAGCAGCCGCGGUAAUACGUAGGGGCCAACCGUUAUCCGGAUUUACUGGGUGUAAAGGGAGCGUAGAGGGCGCUGCAAGUCCGGAGUGAAAGCCCAUGGCUGAACCAGGGUAGUGCACUGGAAACUGGGGGGCUUGAGUGCGGGAGGGGAGGGCGGAAGUCAUAGUGUAGCGGUGAAAGGCGUAGAGAUUAGGAGGAACACCGGCGGCGAAGGCGGCCUGCUGGACCGUAACUGACGUUGAGGCUCGAAAGCGUGGGGAGCAAACAGGAUUAGAUACCCCUGUAGUC
rnacentral:rRNA from 1 species